UACUAGCACUUUAACUUUUGAG
rnacentral:miRNA from 1 species